AACGAACGCUGGCGGCAGGCCUAACACAUGCAAGUCGAGCGCCCCGCAAGGGGAGCGGCGGACGGGUGAGUAACGCGUGGGGAUAUGCCCAUUGCUACGGAAUAGUCUCGGGAAACUGGGGGUAAUACCGUAUACGCCCUUUGGGGGAAAGAUUUAUCGGCGAAGGAUUAGCCCGCGUUGGAUUAGGUGGUUGGUGGGGUAAUGGCGUACCAAGCCGACGAUCCAUAGCUGGUGUGAGAGGAUGAUCAGCCACACUGGGGCUGAGACACGGCCCAGACUCCUACGGGAGGCAGCAGUGGGGAAUCUUAGACAAUGGGGGCAACCCUGAUCUAGCCAUGCCGCGUGAGUGAUGAAGGCCUUAGGGUUGUAAAGCUCUUUCAGCUGGGAAGAUAAUGACGGUACCAGCAGAAGAAGCCCCGGCUAACUCCGUG
rnacentral:rRNA from 1 species